CAUCGUCCCACGUUCCAGAUUCCACCAUCUCUCACAUCACCGACGAGCGCCACAGCCACGAGCAAUAGUUGGUAUCAAAGACAGGAUCCUCAGCGUGUGCCGCUAUUACUUUUCGUUUACCGUUGGUCGCCGCCGUAUACGUUGUGCGUUGGUGAGUUUCUGUCGUUUGUUGCGUAGCAUCGACGACGACGGUCGAGUUCCUCUAAAUCCCACGCUACUCGGUGUGAUUCGCGGGCAGUCAUCACGGUGCCGCCAAAACCCCAGUCCAAACCAAAUUCGUGUUGGCGGCGAUGGAGGGGGCGUGAUAGGGCGAUGCAGAUCGAUGGAACCAUGUCACCGAGAGCAUCGACUUGUUGUUCACCAAGAUGGCGAUCUUCAACACGUCCAAGAGCAAAUGCACGUGAAUCAAGACUUGGGCGUCAAGGCCAUGGAGCAAGUCCUGAAGGACAAAUCUCUCCUCACCAAGCAGUUGGAAGCCACCGGUAAAGCAGUUGCACAUCUCACCCUGGAUCGCGAGGCUGAGAACACUUUUGAGACCUUCUCCCAAGCAUCUCAGGAGCGAUGCCAUCAUGUUCCUCCACGGUUUCACAAUCCUCGAGGUGAGCACCACCAUCCUUGUCUGAUCCAUGAUCUGCACCGAGAGCAUCAGGAGGGACAUAUGAGUUAUCAUCAUCCUGUGCCUAAACUUAAUUUGCCGGAGUUCAAUGGUCGAUAUUCGAAGAUUUGGCAACGCCAAUGUGAAGAUUUCUUCCACAUUUACAAUGUACCUGAACACCUGUGGAUUACCACGGCCACAAUGCAUAUGGAAGCCAAUGCAGGCCGAUGGGUUCUGAAGGGUACUUUAGUGGAUUGGGAUCAAUUUAUGCAAUGCUGUAGAGAUGAAAUUUGGGGCCUAUGAUAUGUCCAUGCCUUAGGGGAAUUGUUGGAACUAAAACAAACUGGGUCAGUAGAGGAUUUUGUGGCUGAAUUUGAAUCCUUACAGUUUCUGCUGGAAAUGCAUAAUGCUGGGUUUGACAAAAUGUUUUUUUUUCACACAAUUCACCCGAAGUAUGAAACCUGAGAUUGCUGCAACCGUAGAGUGUCACAUAACACAAACCAUGGAAUACGCUGUGAGGCUUGCCAAAAUUCAGGAAAAUCUGUUGGACAAAGGUAAAUUCAAGGCCUACAAACAGAACACCUCCAAUGUUGUGGCUCAGUUUCCUGCUAAGUGGGAUCAGAAACAGUUUCCUCCACCCCCAUCUCCAUUCAGCAAAGAACAAUAGAAACGAGAUUUUUGUCAAGCCAACAAUUUAUGUUUCUACUGUUCUGAACCAUUUGAUGCAACACACCUAGCCAAGUGCACCAAAUGACCCAAACCCACUGUAAAUGCACUGGUAGUCAAUGAUUUGGAUGUGCAGUUAACUGAAGAAGUGUUACAUCAGUUGGAUAUGGAGGAUGCCCUGCGUGCUGAAUUAUGUCAACUUUCAAUCAAUGCUAUAGCUGGUACUGACACUGGCAAUGCACUGAAACUUCGAGCACUUGUGAAGAACAAAGUAAUGUUAAGUUUGGUCGACAGUGGUAGUUCCCACAACUUUAUCAUCUCAUCUUUUCUGGACAAGUGUGGUAUCACAGCUGUUCCUAUGGCACCUAAACGGGUUAGCGUUGCUAAUGGUGAUACUCUGGUUGCUGACAAGCAAGUGAUCCAAUUCCAAUGGUGGAUUCAGGGGCAUACCUUCUGUACUUACAUGAUGGUAAUAGAUCUCGGGGCUUUUGAUGCUAUACUUGGUUAUGACUGGCUGUCCCCUCACAGUCCCAUGACCUGUCAUUGGCAGCAUAGAACAUUGCAAUUUUAUUACAAAGACAAGGUGAUUCAGCUAAAAGGUGUGUUUCCUCAUUCCCCUCACUUGCAGGGUAUUACUUCAGCUCAAUUGGUUAAGUGGGCCACUGGUAAUGAUGUGGGUGCCUUGGCUGUUGUGGAAAUUCUGGAUCCUACACCCCAAACUCAACCACCAGCCUUGGUGCAUGAGUCAUUGGAAGAGUAUGCUGAUGUUUUUGCUACACCUAACUCUUUACCUCCCACCAGGUUUCAUGAUCAUCAUAUAUCAUUGUUGCCAAAUGUUGUCCUGGUCAUUCACGACCUUAUUGAUACUCCCCACUGCACAAAGAUGACAUAGAGAAACAUGUGAAGGAGCUCUUGGCCUCGGGUAUGAUCGUCCCCAGUAAUAGCCCAUUUGCCUCCCCGGUUUUGUGUCAAUUACUGGAAGUUAAACUCACUAUCAAAAACCGGUUUCCCAUUCCGAUCAUCGAUGAAAUUCUGGACGAGUUGGCAGGCACCAAACUUUUCACCAAGCUGGACAUGAGAUCGGGUUACCAUCAAGUCGGGAUGCAUUCAGAUGAUGAGUUUAAAACGACAUUCAAAAUACAUCAUGGACAUUUUCAGUUUCAUUGUUGACAGACUUCAGUUCGCAAGACCUGUUGCCGGAUCAACUUCUGGACUGUCGCUUGGUGAAGAAAGGCAGUAAGGCGGUUCCACAAGUGUUAGUCCAAUGGCGCAAUCUUCUAGCUGCUUCUGCUACGUGGGAGGACUGGUACGUGUUGAAGAAUCACUUUCCACACAUGGCUGCUUGGGGACAGGCAUCAACUGAAGGGGAGGGAGAUGUAGCGCCCGACGUGUCGGGUGCGGUACAGGAGUCUGCAGAAGCCGUGCCCAAGUGAAGGCGUAAUGUGUUAGGCUCCGUCAUUUACUUUGUUAAGAGUCAUUUAAGGUACCAUUGGUGGGCUCAAUGUAAUGACCAGCAACUAUGCUGUUAAGGUCCUUGUGGUCGGAACCUGAGGAACAUUAUCAUGCAAAAAGAAUAUACACGAAAGUGAACUCGGGGUUGCCUUGCCUCGCAAGUUCAUCAUCCCA